AACUUUCAACAACGGAUCUCUUGGCUCUCGCAUCGAUGAAGAACGCAGCGAAAUGCGAUAAGUAAUGUGAAUUGCAGAAUUCAGUGAAUCAUCGAAUCUUUGAACGCAAAUUGCACCCUUUGGUAUUCCGAAGGGUAUGCCUGUUUGAGUGUCAU
rnacentral:rRNA from 1 species